rnacentral:rRNA from 1 species
UCGACGGAGAGUUUGAUCCUGGCUCAGGACGAACGCUGGCGGCGUGCUUAACACAUGCAAGUCGAACGAGAAACCGGAGCUUGCUCCGGUGGAAAGUGGCGAACGGGUGAGUAACACGUGAGAAAUCUGCCCUAGAGACCGGGACAACCUUCGGAAACGAUGGCUAAUACCGGAUAUCCCCAUACGGUCGCAUGGCCGUGUGAGGAAACGCUCAGGUGCUCUAGGAGGAUCUCGCGGCCUAUCAGCUAGUUGGUGGGGUAACGGCCUACCAAGGCAUCGACGGGUAGCUGGUCUGAGAGGACGAUCAGCCACACUGGGACU